rnacentral:lncRNA from 10 species
CUAGGCUAGAAAUUAAACCACAUUUCAUCUGAAGGAGCCUACUUAGGCUUACUUUUCUCAAACUUUCAGUUCCCUAACAAAUUAAGAUGGAUUAGACUCAUAUUUAUGGUAUUUAAUAUGAAACAAUUAAAUAUAAAACAGUGCCCUAACCUUAAUGGCCUAUGUGAAGACUGAAAGAUACUUUUUUAAUAGUUUCAAACAGAAAUGAGGUGCUGCCUUAAUCUUUUUAGGACCUGGUUUUUAGAAACUUUUCCACUGAAGUCUACAAUUUUUUUUUUUGAGUGAUUUUUCAUAAUUUGCCUUUUUGAAGAACAUGCAGUGAGCAUUCAUAAAGUGUUUCCCCCUGCACCUUGGCCCCCCGUCUCAUGCAGCACAUUUAUGACAUUGAAAACCACCAGUAAUAGAUAACAUUGAGAUUUGAAAUUUAGUUUUACUUAGGUAUAAUGACAGACCAAGUAUAAGGCUUUGGUUGAGAGACCAGCUUUUAAAUAUUGAAAGACAAAUAUAGUGUAAAAGGCGCAAUGGAAUUUGUAUAGUGAAGGAGAUUCUCUAGUCCCAGGGUUGUAAUGUCACUUCUGUCUAAUUCAUUACAGAAUUACAGAAUCAAAUCAUGUUAGCCCUAGAAGAAACUGCAGAUCAUUUUGUUCAAUCUUCUCAUUAUAUAGGAAAGGAAAUUUGAGGGCCAGUGCAAUGGUUUGCCAAGGUCACACAACUAGUUAGUGGAAGGAUCCAGGCAUUCUAAUUCCUUUCUUUCACUAAUACAUUUGGCCUGCUCUACAGAAUUACUUCUGUCUGAUACUAUCCACUUUGAAGAGUAGCUAGCAUAUAGUAGCCAUUUACUUUUGGCUCAAUUAAAAGCAAACAUUUUUGGGACAAAAUCAGGCUUUCCUGAUUACUUCUUAGAUAACAGAGCCCACACAGUAUUAAAACAUGCAGCCUUUCUUUAUGCAAAAAGAUUGAAUAUGGAGCCACUUGAAUCUUAAACUUCAGUCUGCAGCUAUAACCAAUAUCAUCAGAAGUUAUACACAAUUGGCAAAAGAAUAGCUUAUUCUGCCCAAAUACUUGUCCAGUCACUAGGAUCAUUUCACUUUUUUGAAUACCAUUUGCUUUGGGGAGGGAAGUAUUGCCAGACCAUGAAUUCAUUAUUACCUCUGAUCAGUUUUAAACUUCAUUUGAAAAGUGGUUCCUUCUCGUUUUCUCCCUCCCUCAGGCUGCAUCCUAGCAUGCCCAGUUUUAGUCUGGCAUGAGCUUUUAUGGCAUUUUGAAUCCCUCCUUCCUGAGGGUUUAUAAUGACAGUGCUGAAAACCACCUGGACUGAAGUAUGAACAUUGCCAUUGAAUUUGAGGGGGACUGAGAAUGUUCUUUCUAGUCUGUUUUAUUUUGACAGAAUUUAACAUACUAAGGCUUUUCCACUUUCUGCCAUAAACCUAGGUUUAUAAUACUUUUGGGGUGCUAAUUAACAUGAUGUGUUUUUCUCCAGGUGGAUAAAUUAGAUGCUUCAGAAUCACUGAGAAAAGAAGAAGAACAAGCUACAGAGACACAACCCAUUGUUUAUGGUCAGCCCCAGUUGAUGCUGACAGCAGGACCCAGUGUUGCCGUCCCUCCCCAGGCACCUUUUGGUUAUGGUUAUACCGCACCACCGUAUGGACAGCCACAGCCUGGCUUUGGGUACAGCAUGUGAGAUGAAGCGCUGAUCCUGUAGUCACCUAUUUUCGUACUGAAACAUCGUCUUUACCCACUUCUCAGUUUAUAAUGGGGGAAAACAGGCAACGUGUUCUUGUAACCUUUAUUUCAUGAAGGACUUCUUUUUGUUUCUAACUAUAAACUUGGAUCACCUAUGUUAAAACCUUAUUUCACAUUCCACAUCAUUUUAGAAUUUAUUUUCGAAGGGGAAUAGUUUCAAUGUUUUAUUCACUUGGGCUUUUUUUCUUCCCCCUCUUUCUUUAAAGAACUGCUCAAUAUUCAAUCUGUUGUGAAGAACCUGAUUUGCACUCUGUAGUGUUUAAAGAAACAAAGAAACUCUAAUAUUGAAUCUCUUAAAUUUAGUGUAUGUAAACAGCUUACAAAUACGUAUUGUCUAAAUGCAUUUAAAUCUGUUUUAUUCAAAGAAAAGCUAAAGCAAAAACACUGGCAUAUGACCAUGCAAGACUGUCAGUGCCAACAAAGACAACACUAAUCAGCACAUCGUACACUGGAUUGCAGUGCUUCCCAGAUUAUUGAAAAAUGUUACAGACAACUUGCCUGAUUUUUAAAUGAGCGUAAAAGGCCCUCUAACCUAUGCAGGUUUCCCCAUUAUGCAUAUAGAAAAUGCUAGUAUGUUUUGCUCACUUCAUAUGUAACAGGUGCCCUUAUGUUGUGCUGUAUCCUGUGCUUUUUCUGUGGGACCAUUCCAUUCAGGAGCAAAGAGCACCAUGAUUCCAAUCUUGUGUGUGUUUACUAACCCUUCCCUGAGGUUUGUGUAUGUUGGAUAUUGUGGUGUUUUAGAUCACUGAGUGUACAGAAGAGAGAAAUUCAAACAAAAUAUUGCUGUUCUUCAGUUUUGUUUGUGGAAUUUGAAAUUACUCAAAUUUAAAAUAAAUUACUGGACUGUGGAAAUAACAUAGAAUUGAAGUUUUAAUUAAAUACCACUCAAACGAAAAGAACAGUAGUUUUUGUAGUUUUAUAUUGGAUACUGAGGCAUUAGGGAGGCAUGAAAGGAAGAGGAAUGAGGAUUGAGACAUGUGAAGACAUUGUGCAUUAUAUCAAUGUGCAUUCCUGUAGUUCAUUAACAAGGUACAUGCAAUAGUCUAAAGAACCAGAGUCACUACUAUAGUGGCUUAACAUUUAAUCUGUCUCCAAUAUUUUAACCAAGUGACACCGAGGUUUUUAUCGAAGCAUUUCACUUAAAUGAACAAAUCAUGGCUGUUAUAUUAACUUGAAAUAAAAUAUAUUUAAACAUGUA